rnacentral:rRNA from 1 species
UACGUAGGGUGCAAGCGUUGUCCGGAAUUAUUGGGCGUAAAGAGCUCGUAGGCGGUCUGUCGCGUCGGCUGUGAAAAUCCCGGAGCUCAACUCCGGGUCUGCAGUCGAUACGGGCAAACUGGAGUACUGCAGGGGAGACUGGAAUUCCUGGUGUAGCGGUGAAAAUGCGCAGAUAUCAGGAGGAACACCGGUGGCGAAGGCGGGUCUCUGGGCAGUAACUGACGCUGAGGAGCGAAAAGCGUGGGGGAGCGAACAGG